rnacentral:rRNA from 1 species
GAUGAACGCUGGCGGCGUGCCUAAUACAUGCAAGUCGAGCGAACAGACGAAGAGCUUGCUCCUCUGACGUGAGCGGCGGACGGGUGAGUAACACGUGGAUAACCUACCUAUAAUACUGGUAUAACUUCGGGAAACCGGAGCUAAUACCGGAUAAUAUAUUGAACCGCAUGGUUCAAUAGUGAAAUACGGUUUUGCUGUCACUUAUAGAUGGAUCCGCGCCUCAUUAGCUAGUUGGUAAGGUAACGGCUUACCAAGGCAACGAUGCGUAGCCGAGCUGAGAGGGUGAUCCGCCACACUGGAACUGAGACACGGUACAGACUCCUACGGAAGGCAGCAGUAGGGAAUCUUCCGCAAUGGGCGAAAGCCUGACCGAGCAACGCCGCCUGAGUGAUGCAGGUCUUCGGAUCGUAAAACUCUGUUAUUAGGGAAGAACAAAUGUGUAAGUAACUAUGCACGUCUUGACGGUACCUAAUCAGAAAGCCACGGCUAACUACGUG